GGAAGUGCUUGGCGAGCUGGUGCUCCCCGCGGUCUUCAAAAUCGUUGAGCCGUAGGUAAAGCCUGCGGUUGGUGGGUUCGAUUCCCAUGCACUUCCGC
rnacentral:tRNA from 2 species